rnacentral:tRNA from 1 species
UCAGGUGGUUAGAGCGCACCCCUGAUAAGGGUGAGGUCCCUGGUUCGAGUCCAGGAUGGCCCACCUGAAGCAAGUCAAAAGUUAAAAGACAAAAGUCAAAAGUAGUUAUUUACUUUUGAAUUUUGGAUUUUGAAUUUUGAAUUGUAUUUGGGGGUUUAGCUCAGUUGGUAGAGCGCCUGCUUUGCAAGCAGGAUGUCAGCGGUUCGAGUCCGCUAACCUCCACAUGAAAAGGCAAGCCAAGAAAGAGGAAAAAUUCAGCAACUAACGGGAGUUAGACUGCUGGGUAGUACCUAGCCAGAACCUUGAAAACUGCAUAAAAACGCGAUUAGAUUAGCAGGCAGACACAGACAAACUGUGAAUGCAGGAUAAAACCAAUGGAAUUGU